UACGUAGGGUGCGAGCGUUAAUCGGAAUUACUGGGCGUAAAGCGUGCGCAGGCGGUUUUGUAAGCCAGAUGUGAAAGCCCCGGGCUCAACCUGGGAAUGGCAUUUGGGACUGCAAGGCUUGAGUGCGGCAGAGGAGACUGGAAUUCCUGGUGUAGCAGUGAAAUGCGUAGAUAUCGGAAGGAACAUCAGUGGCGAAAGCGACUUCCUGGACCAGUACCGACGUUCAGGCACGAAAGCGUGGGGAGCAAACAGG
rnacentral:rRNA from 1 species